AUUGUUAUUCAAGUUACUUACAUUGCUGUAAAUGAUAUCUAACACUGUUAAUGCAAUACCUACAAAAUGUAUUGCACUCGGCUAUGUUGUUCGGCAAUAACCGCAUACAGUCAACACAACGCACUUAACCACUUUAUAACUGCAGCGAAUAAAAUAAUUUUUACAGCUUUUCAAAUUUUUUCUUUAACAAGCAUAAGUGUCAAUCACAAUUUUUAACAGAAUUACAAAAUUAAAUACACAAAAUUGUAAAUUAUACAACAAUACUUUUUAUAUGCUCGUACAGAAAACGCAUUAAAAAGUGUAAUAAUUAAUUAUUUUGCAACAUUUUGAAAUUAUCUACACAUAAAUUUGGACAAAAAUAAAAUUAAAGAACUGAUGUCAUGAAAACUGCCGCGUUCCUACUACUGCUAAUGAUUACAACAGCGUUGGCCAAAAAAGAAAGUCUACGUCGUGGCAUUACCAAUGCAAGACCAACACUCAAGUGCAAUGACUACGCCGAUGUGCUGUCGCCCACGCGUUUGUUUUUAUUGGGCUUGACCAUGAUAUUAUUGGGCUUAAAGCAAUCGCCAUUGUUGAGAAUGGGGCCGAAAGAUGCUGCAAAUAAAUGGCGGUGGUCCAGACAAAUUGAGGUGAAAUCUUGAAGUUAUUGCAAAAUUAUAAUCAAAUCUAUAUAUUAUUCGAAUAAAACGAUAACUUAUGCGCAUGCAUGCAA